rnacentral:rRNA from 1 species
AGUUUGAUCAUGGCUCAGAUUGAACGCUGGCGGGAGCUUUACACAUGCAAGUCGAACGGCAGCACGGACUUCGGUCUGGUGGCGAGUGGCGAACGGGUGAGUAAUGUAUCGGAACGUGCCUAUAGCGGGGAUAACUACGCGAAAGCGUAGCUAAUACCGCACAUUACCCUUCGGGGGAAAGCGGGGGGACCUUCGGGCCUCGCACUAUUAGAGCGGCCGAUAUCGGAUUAGCUAGUCAGGGUAACGGCUCACCAAGGCGACGAUCCGUAGCUGGUUUGAGGAGGACGACCAGCCACACUGGGACUGAGAUACGCCCAGACUCCUACGGGAGGCAGCAGUGGGGAAUUUUGGGAUUGUGGGGGGAAACCCUGAUCCAAGCCAUCCGCGUGCGAUGAAGGCCUUCGGCCGUAAAGCACUUUGGCAGGAAAGAAACGGCACGGGAUAAUACCCGUGCAACUGACGGUACCUGGCAGAAUAAGCACCGGCUAACUACGUGCCAGCAGCCGCGGUAAUACGUAGGGUGCAAGCGCUGACCGGAAUUACUGGGCGUAAAGCGUGCGCAGGCGGUUCGGAAAAGAAAGAUGUGAAAUCCCAGAGCUUAACUUUGGAACUGCAUUUUUAACUACCGAGCUAGAGUGUGUCAGAGGGAGGUGGAAUUCCGCGUAGCAGUGAAAUGCGUAGAUAUGCGGAGGAACACCGAUGGCGAAGGCAGCCUGGGAUAACACUGACGCUCAUGCACGAAAGCGUGGGGAGCAAACAGGAUUAGAUACCCUGGUAGUCCAUGCCCAUAAUGAUGUCAACUAGCUGUUGGGGCCUUCGCCCGGUAGCGCAGCUAACGCGUGAAGUUGACCGCCUGGGGAGUACGGUCGCAAGAUUAAAACUCAAAGAAUGACGGGGACCCGCACAAGCGGUGAUGAUGAUUGACUUUGGAUGCAACGCGAAAAACCUUACCUACUCUUGACAUGUCUGGCAAUCCCGAAGAGAUUUGGGAGUGCUCGCAAGAGAACCGGAACACAGGUGCUGCAUGGCUGUCGUCAGCUCAAAAUGAGAUGCUGGGUUAAGCCCGCAACGAGCGCAACCCUUGUCAUUAGUUGCUACGAAAGGGCACUCUAAUGAGACUGCCGGUGACAAACCGGAGGAAGGUGGGGAUGACGUCAAGUCCUCAUGGCCCUUAUGUAGGGCUUCCGUCAUACAAUGGUCGGGACAGAGGGUCGCCAACCCGCGGAGGGGGAGCCGUCCCAGAAACCCGAUCGUAGUCCGGAUCGCAGUUCGCAACCCGACUGCGUGAAGUCGGAAUCGCUAGUAAUCGCGGAUCAGCAUGCUGUCGCGGUGAAUACGUUCCCGGGUCUUGUACACACUGCCUGUCACACCAUGGAGCAGUUUUAGAAGUAGUUAGCCUAACCGUAAGGAGGGCGAUUACCACGGUAGGAUUCAUGACUGUGGUGAAGUCGAACAAGGUA